rnacentral:rRNA from 1 species
UACGUAGGGUGCAAGCGUUGUCUGGAAUUAUUGGGCGUAAAGAGCGUGUAGGCGGCCAGAUAAGUCCGCUGUGAAAUCUCGAGGCUCAACUUCGAGCUGUCGGUGGAAACUAUCUGGCUAGAGUCCGGAAGAGGAGAAUGGAAUUCCUGGUGUAGCGGUGAAAUGCGCAGAUAUCGGGAAGAACACCCGUGGCGAAGGCGGCUCUCUGGGACGGUACUGACGCUGAGACGCGAAAGCGUGGGGAGCAAACAGG